UCCUCCAUUGUUCUUGGACCCACCAAGAACCGAGACCCCGGACAUACUUUGUUUCCCCUCCAAGACUCCGUUCAUCUGCAACAAUGAACCAUUGUUGCCGUCACUGUCUUUGCCCCUGGACCAGACCAUCCUGAUUCUCGCUGAUAAUUGUGUGAUCAUUAUUAAAUCAUUUAACACUGA